rnacentral:misc_RNA from 1 species
AAUUCUCAACCUAACCAGUUUUCUGUGUUAGGCUUGGAUGUGGGGGUUUUUGCAGGCUGCCUCAGUGCGGUCUGCUCCCCUGAAAUGCAUUAGCGAGUUCAAACUGAGCUCCGUCUAUUGGUGUGAUAAUUAUCUACGCCGUGGAUUGGGCUUAGACUUGCUUCUAACCGUCCGCAAGGACAAUCUUUUGACA